rnacentral:rRNA from 2 species
UAUCAAAAACAUGUCUCCUUGUGGAAAAUAAAUAAGGAGUCGGGCCUGCUCGGUGAAAAUUUUUAACAGCUGCGGUAUUUUAACUGUACUAAGGUAGCAUAAUAAUUUGCCUUAUAAUUUGAGGCUAGAAUGAAUGGUUUGACGAAGGUUUAUCUGUCUCUAUUUUAUUUUUUAGAAAUUAAUCUUCAUAGUGAAAAAGCUUGAAUUUUUUAAAGGGACGAGAAGACCCUAUUGAGCUUGUAAUUUUAUAUAAUUAUAUUUAUUAAAUUUGUAUAGUUAUUUAUAAAUUUUAGUUGGGGUGACUAAGGAAUAAAGUAAGUAACUUCCUUAGAGUAAAGAUUGUUAAAUAAAGUAACCAUAUUCAAUAUUGCUUAUAAUAUAGUUACCAUAGGGAUAACAGCGUAAUUUAUUUAGAGAGCUCAUAUUGAAAAAUAAGAUUGCGACCUCGAUGUUGGAUUAAAGUAACCUUAAGGUGCAGAAGCCUUAGUUGGUAAAUCUGUUCGAUUUUUAAAACUUUACGUGAUCUGA